GACGAACGCUGGCGGCGUGCUUAACACAUGCAAGUCGAGCGAGUGGAUUCCCUUCGGGGAUGAAGCUAGCGGCGGACGGGUGAGUAACACGUGGGCAACCUGCCUCAUAGAGGGGGAUAGCCUUCCGAUAGGAAGAUUAAUUCCGCAUAACAUCAGAUUAGCGCAUGGUAGACAGAUCAAAGGGACAAUCCGCUAUAAGAUGGGUCCGCGUCGGAUUAGCUAGUCGGUGAGGUAACGGCUCACCAAGGCGACGAUGCAUAGCCGACCUGCGAGGGUGAUCGGCCACAUUGGAACUGAGACACGGCCCAGACUCCUACGGGAGGCAGCAGUGGGGAAUAUUGCACAAUGUGGGAAACCCUGAUGCAGCAGCGCCGCGUGAGUGAUGAAGGCCUUCGGGUUGUAAAGCUCUUUGAUCAGGGACGAUAAUGACGGUACCUGAAUAACAAUCCACGGCUAACUACGUGCCAGCCGCCGCAGUAAUAC
rnacentral:rRNA from 1 species